AUGCGUGUCCCAAAAGACCAAGGAGGUAUGGGUUCCCGAGAAAUACACGGUUUCAAUAUGGCAUUGUUAGCCAAGCGUUUGCUUGAUAAUCAUGAGUCUUUAUGUGCUACUAUCUUGAGAGCUAAAUAUUCCCCGGAGGGCGAUUUAAUAAGUGCAACUCUAAAAAAGGGUUCCUCUUUUACUUGGUAAAGUAUUAUGGCGGGAGUGAAUUGUCUAAAAAACGGUUAUAUCUGGCGAGUUGGAAAUGGACAUAAUAUUGAUAUUUGGAGAGAUGUCUGGAUCCCUAACUGUGCGAAUAGGAAAAUUAUUACUCCUAGAAGGGGGCAUCUUCUAUCUAAGGUUUGUGACCUUAUUGACCCGGUCACGAUCUUGGGAUGA
rnacentral:rRNA from 1 species